AGCAGUCGCCGCGGGAAUACGGAGGGGGCUAGCGUUGUUCGGAAUUACUGGGCGUAAAGCGUGCGUAGGUGGUGGUUUAAGUCCGUUGUGAAAGCCCUGGGCUCAACCUGGGAAUUGCAGUGGAUACUGGGUCACUAGAGUGUGGUAGAGGAUAGUGGAAUUUCCGGUGUAGCAGUGAAACGCGUAGAGAUCGGAAGGAACAUCAGUGGCGAAGGCGGCCAUCUGGGACAACACUGACGCUGAGGCACGAAAGCGUGGGGAGCAAACAGGAUUAGAUACCCGUGUAGUCCCUGUCUCUUAUAC
rnacentral:rRNA from 1 species